AUGGGAAUGUAUAAAAUAAUUCUGUUAUUUAUUAGAUAAUAUAAAAUGGAUGAUUUGAUUAUGUUUAACAUAAUUGAAGACCUUGGUGAAGAACAUUUAAUUGAUCCUCUACGCCUCGUUGGUGACCCCAUUACAGAAUUGAGUGAGGUUCAGUUUAUUAAGCUGUUUCGGGUGUCAAAAAAUAUUUUUCAUAAUAUUGUUGAAACAAUCCAUCCUUUUAUGAAUCCUCAUUCUAAUUCAAAAGGUUUACCUGUCAAUACUCGUGUACUUGCAGCUUUACGUUUUUAUGCCUCAGGUAGUUAUUAAGCAGAUAUUGGAUGGAACUGGUUUAUCGGAGUUUCUCAACAAAGCAUUAGUAACUGCCUCCAAGAGGUAACAAAUGCAUUGAAUCAUCCUGAAGUUCUUAACAGAUUUAUAAAAUUUCCCCAAAAUGUUGAGGAGUUAAAUAUUAUUAGAAAAAGUUUUUCUGAAAAAUAAAAUUUCCCAGGAGUCAUAGGACGCAUUGAUUGCACUCAUGUAGCCAUUUUUUCCCUAAAAAUUGAUGAAUAUGUUUUUGUCAAUAGGAAAAGAUAUCAUUCCAUUAAUGUUCAAUUAAUAUGUGGGGCAAAUCUAGAAAUUUUAAAUGUUAUUGCCAAGUAUCCUGGCAGUUCACAUGAUUCAUUUAUAUGGAAUAACAGUGAUAUUCAGAAUGUACUUAGAAAUAUCCAUCAGGCUGGAAUGAAUGGAUAUUAUUUAUUAGGUGAUUCUGGAUACCCUUUAAGGCCUUGGCUUAUGACUCCUUUGGAACAUGAACCUGCUAUGAAUACUCCAGAAUAUCACUAUAAUAAAGCCCAUAAGAGGGUUCGUAGCAUUAUAGAAAGAUGUAAUGGAUUAUUUAAAGCAAGGUUUAGAUGUUGUUGGAAGGAUCGAGUCCUUCAUUAUGCACCUAAAAUGGCAUGCAAAGUUAUAAAUGCAUGUGUUGUUUUACACAACAUUUCUAUUAAAAAUAAUUUGAUUUUGCCAGAAGUUGAAAAUGAAGAUGAUCAUGCGGAUGAUAGCUUAUUUGACAAUUUAUUAGAAAUAGGAGGAAUAAAUCCUGAACUGGCAGCUGGUAAAGCAACCCGUAACCGCUUAAUCACAGCUAGAUUUCAAACAAAUUAAAGAGCAUCGAUGGGUCAAGUGUAUUGAACUAAAAGGUAAAAUAAAAAAGUUUAUAAGAAACUUGAAUUUUCAGUUGCACCAUAAGGAUUUCACAAAAAUUAAAUGUAAAUAAAAUAAUAAACUAUGCUUGUAUAACAAAAUUUAAUCAAUAAAAUAAAAAAAAGAAAAUUCUGAAAAUAAAUUUUAACAAAAAUAAUAACAAAAACAAAUAAUUAGUGAGAAUCUGCUAAUUUGUUUAUAGCUUCCGCCAUAUGUUCUAAAGCAACUGCAGUUUACGAUAACGCCUGGGCAGUUUGAGUCAAGGCCUGUGCAUUUGAUGCUGAUGACGAAUUUAAGGCACUCACAAUAUUGCCCAGAGCCUCCAUCUUCUGUCUAUGGUGCCUUUCCUUCAUCUCAAUUUUUUUUAAAAAUAUUUGGCAUGCUUUUCGUAAGCAUUAUAUGUUUUUUGCCUCCUUGUACGUUGCACGGGCUGCCGCGACACGUCCGAAG